UUUUAAUUAUUUUCUAAAAUACAAUGAAAAAAUCUAACUGGACACACACAAUAACAAGGCGGGUACGUUUAUUGUCCCACGAAUUGACCCUCCAAGAUAUUGUCAACAUUUAUUGACAAUAAUAAUAAUAAUAAUGAUAAUGAUAAUACAGCUCACUGUUCUAAAUCUACUUGUAUAUUAAAAUAUGAAUCACACGCCUCUGCCCUCUUUUACAUGCAUUAGCGGCGUUUCCAAGACACAGGGGUGUCGUUAACUCCACGUUUUACUUCAGCCCUUCUUCCCAAAGACAGUAACCCAAUGGCCUUGUGUCAAGCUCAUGGCAGCUUUCAAAAAAAAAAAAAAAAAAAAUCCAUUCUCUCUGCACCGCUAAUUAACAGUAAGAAGAGACCCUAUCACACUGCUCGUCUCCACUGAGAAUAACAAUGAAGCCCAGAGGAAUGAAUUAGAAGCCUCCUCACUGCCAGGAGUAAAAAGCAGCACUUUAGCAAACGGUCGAUUUUCGGCCGCCCGUUGAAGGAAACUUUUCACCGCCUGGAGAAAGCAACUAAUGAGUCAUCUGGAGGUUAGCCGACUGUGUCGCUUCGCCGACUGUGUCGCUUCGCCGGAGCCCAGCUUGUGUGGACCUGUUGGACCUCAGACAACCUGCUGCAAGACACACGACUGACUUGUAAAUACUCUAAUAAUCCCGCUGUACAUACAUAGUGUAGGUGUCGGUAAUGUCGUGGUUCAUAAUUGGCAUUUUACUGCAAAACAAGCUAUGUCUUCUUAUUAUUUUAUGAUUAUAAUAAAUGCAUACAGGCCAGAACACAAGAGCCCACAUAUUGCUGUAACUUAAAGUCAAGCAAACUAUUUUUUUAAUUUUAUUGUAUUUGUAUUUUUUUUUUAUUUUUUUAUUUUUUUAUAUUAUUGUUUCAUUCGUGUUUCAUUAUUGUUUAUUAUUAUUUACUAUUAUUUAUUAUUUAUUUUUAUAUUAGUUUUUCAUUCUCGUUUCAUUAGUGUUUCAUUAUUUAUUGUUUUAUUGUUUAUUAUUAUUUAUUAUUGGCUUUAUUUUUUAUUUUUAUAUUAUUGUUUCAUUCGUGUUUCAUUGUUGUUUAUUAUUAUUUAUUAUGUUUUAUUAUUAUUUUUUAUAUUAUUGUUUCAUUAUUGUUUAUUAUUAUUUAUUAUUAUUAUUAUUUGUUAUUAUUUAAUUUGUGUUUCAUUGUUUAUUGUUUUAUUUAUUGUUUUAUUAUUGUUUAUUAUUGGCUUUAUUUUUUAUAUUAUUGUUUAUUAUUAUUUAUUAUUAUUAUUUAUUAUUAUUAUUUAAUUAGUGUUUCAUUAUUGUUUAUUGUUUUAUUUAUUGUUUUAUUAUUGUUUAUUAUGUUCAUGGAAUGAUGCGUUCAAGUGCAGUGCGACAUUUUAUAAACAUGCCGACAUUACUGUAAGUAAAUCUGAAAUCUGAAGCUGAUUGGUUAAAGAACCAGCCCCAUUACCAAUAGUGUCUAAGUGACAUGGCCCAGCACUACUGAUUGUGAAGGCCUUGGUUAGAUUACAUUGACAUGGCAACACGAGAUUGGUAAAAAAAAAAAAAAAAAGAAAAUACUCUAAAAUACUAUAUAGAAGCAGUGACACGGUAGUACAAUUUCCUGGAAGAAAUACAACAAUUGAAUGUGUCGCUGUGUCAGUGCUUGUGAUAGCGGUUAGGCCUGCAGAGAAGGCUAUCAAAGGUGUUUUUGCUUUCUCUGUCCAAGGUGCUGAUUUUGCUCUGCGGCGAGGAUGCAUCAUCAUGCAGCAUGUGUGACCUAAUGAGGGCCUUAAAGAGCUCAUUUAGCCGUGGAAGAUGUGGAAGAUCUUGUCCACGGGGGAAAUGUCAGCUGUGACUGUUUUAAGAGCAGACCGGGCUAUAAUUAUGAUUGUAAGGAAACAGCAUGUUUUAUUCAUGGCAUCGAACCUUCUUUCCACUGUGUAAACUCCGCCGGCAUCACACAGACACCUUAAAAAAAAAUCUUACUUUCAUACAUUUUUAAUUUGAAGCAAAAUAAAAACGGGAAACGGACAAAUGAAAUCGGUAGAAGUUGACAUUGAGCCGAGGAGGCGCGGCGUUCCUGGGGGGGCGCCGCGCUUUGGUCCAACAUGGAAGAUCCACGCAGGAGGUAAUGAAUGAAUGAAUGAAUCAUAGUUAAUACUUGACUGCGGUGACUCUCCAACCUCCGUACUUCAUCUUUCACGUUCUCAGCCCCCCUGCAGGAGGAUCCGAGCGGCGGCGGCAACAUCAAUGCAACCACCUUGGCCGGGUUUGAACCUCGACGCUUGUUGACUCUCUGCGGCCCGAGGCGGGAAUUUAAUCAGCACGCUUCUCUUCCUGUGCGCUCCCCCGCACUAGGGUUGAGGACAUCAUGGCUUCCACUGGAGGGGGUUGUCUUCUUCUCAACAUCAUCACUUUGGCAUGAUUGACACUCCCCUGCAAAUAAUUGAUACCCUGAUAAAAAAAAAGUCUAUUUUUAGCACAUGGCUCACCCCCCCCCCCUCCAAAACCUUCCUGCUAGCUGGAUGUUCAUGUUCUAAUUCGAUUUCAGAUCAACAUUUGCGGUUAGUUUUACUCAGCACUGAUGCUAAUGAACAGAUUGAAUUGGAGUCACAGCACACGGCCGUGGUGCUUUCAAGGACAGCCAAACACAGUGCAAAAUCUCAACGCUCAAUGGGAAAAAAAAAACAAACAAAAAGACAUAUUUAUAAAUUAAAUAACUUUUGUUGUACUUUGUACCAUUAGAUGGAGCCCGCGUACCAUCAAUGGCCCUCAAACCGCCGUUUGAGAAUCGACGCUGUCGUCCAUCCUCGCCAAGAAAUCAAGGCCAAGGUUGAUCGGGUCAUGGGAGGGGGUGCCGGAGCCUAUCCCAGCUGUCUUCGGGCGAGAGGUGGGACUGGUGGCCAGCCAAUUUGUGAAGCCUGUGUACUAACCACUCGUACACCGUGCAGCCCCUAAAAGGUUAAAGGAACACCAUAAUUGGAGCAUUUACGAUCCCUGGUGGACACGCUAGGCGAGCGGAGGCUGGUGACGGAGGAGCUGCUGCUGGAGCUCCGCACCGUCCGCCGGUUGCUUUCAACGGUCUUGGAGAAAGACGAGCGUGCGGCGGAGCUUCC